rnacentral:lncRNA from 1 species
UGAAUAUUUUUGUAAAACGUGCCGCUGGGCGAAAUACUCCGAGACGCUGCUGAAAGUCAUCCCUAAAGCACAAGACAUGAAGGACAAAAGGGAGAUGAUGCGAUUUGUCUCCAGCCUUCUGCAUGAGGCCGAACUUUUCCCGACCAUUGUGGAAGCCCUCACAUCAACCAUGUUCGACGGAUGGAGUGAAGAUGAUAUUUUUGCUGCGUAUAAAGGUAUUUCCCCAAUUUCCCAUCUGGUCACCGACGAGGAGAAACCAGCGUGGGAUUCUUUCAUCAGAGAUCAAGUCCGCAAGCUGCAUGCUCCCGACGCUGGCAGGGCCCAUUACCGAAUGUUCGUAGUGAAGGCAUCAAAAACUCAAUACUGAGGGCUACGAAAAAGC